CCUACGGGAGGCUACAGUGGGGAAUAUUGCGCAAUGGGCGAAAGCCUGACGCAGCGACGCCGCGUGAGGGAUGAAGGUCUUCGGAUCGUAAACCUCUGUCAGCAGGGAAGAACGGUCACUGUGCUAAUCAGCGGUGAAUUGACGGUACCUGCAAAGGAAGCACCGGCUCACUCCGGGCCAGCAGCCGCGGUAAUACGGAGGGUGCGAGCGUUAAUCGGAAUUACUGGGCGUAAAGCGCUCGUAGGCGGUAUGUCAAGUCAAGGGUGAAAUCCCCGCGCUCAACGUGGGAACGGCCUUUGAAACUGGCAAACUGGAGUGUGUGAGAGGUUAGUGGAAUUCCAGGUGUAGGAGUGAAAUCCGUAGAUAUCUGGAGGAACAUCAGUUGCGAAGGCGACUAUCUGGCACAUAACUGACGCUGAGGAGCGAAAGCGUGGGUAGCAAACAGGAUUAGAUACCCCUGUAGUC
rnacentral:rRNA from 1 species